CCAGACUCCUACGGGAGGCAGCAGUGGGGAAUUUUGGACAAUGGGCGCAAGCCUGAUCCAGCUAUUCCGCGUGUGGGAUGACGGCCCUCGGGUUGUAAACCUCUUUUGUCAGGGAGCAAUUGGCGCUACGUGUAGCGUUAUCGAGAGUACCUGAAGAAAAAGCAUCGGCUAACUCCGUGCCAGCAGCCGCGGUAAUACGGAGGAUGCGAGCGUUAUCCGGAUUUAUUGGGUUUAAAGGGUGCGUAGGCGGAAUGCCAAGUCAGCGGUAAAAUCGCGGGGCUCAACCUCGCUCCGCCGUUGAAACUGGCGUUCUUGAGUGGGCGAGAAGUAUGCCGAAUGCGUGGUGUAGCGGUGAAAUGCAUAGAUAUCACGCAGAACUCCGAUUGCGAAGGCAGCAUACCGGCGCCCAACUGACGCUGAAGCACGAAAGCGUGGGUAUCGAACAGGAUUAGAUACCCCAGUAUC
rnacentral:rRNA from 1 species